rnacentral:tRNA from 1 species
GGAAGCGCAAACCCAUUGGCGAGGGGGCCGGUCUCGAAAACCGUGUGUGCCGCAAGGCCUUGGGGGUUCGACUCCCUCCGCUUCCGCCA